rnacentral:lncRNA from 1 species
AGGCCGACGACAUAUUCUUCAUCGUCAUGGCCUUUGAUUGGCGCGAGUACACUGCAGAGAAUGCGGUAGACAGACCGGGGUGUGUACUUGAGCUCAUGGAUGAGGAAUGUGGUUCUUGAGGGUUUGCAUGCAGCCAAAGGCUUCAUGAGCACUUCCAUCAUUCCAUUUGGCAGCUCACGCUCACCAUAAAGCUUCACAGCCCCGUCUGAAGGAAUUGGUACGGGCAGUUCUCUGAGGAGUUCAGACGCUGGAGCCUUGUAGUGAGUGUUUUGGGUC